rnacentral:tRNA from 1 species
ACCUGGCUGGCUCAGUCUUAAGGGCAUGUGACUGUUGAUCUCAGGGUCAUGAGUUCGAGCCCCAUGUUGGGUG